UCAAUUCUCUCUUGCACACCCACUCAUCUAAAGAAUCAAGUCUUUUGUUUAUUAAGGCCCUGGGUUUGGGCAACGUGUUCUAAAUCAGAUCCUACGGUGAGCCAGUUAUGAAGGCUUUGGCUCCAAAGAGACUUUCCUACGUCUGAAAGCCAUUUUGGGCCCAGGCUCUGGUUUCACCCCAUCUUUGGGCAAUCGAUAUAUCAGGCUGUUUCUACCCUGGGAGCUUCUAAUGGCAAGAACUCUUGGAGCUCUGGUAACAUUAUACGUCUAACAGGGGCGGAGGAAGAGAAAACCAGGAGCUUGAGUCUCAAUGUGAUGCUUCACUCGGCAAUAAAUCCAAGUGGCAACAAAGUAAGUAGACGGCAUAAAAGAGAUAUGAGCAAAAAAAAAAAAAAAAAUCCAAAUGUUAAAUUCAACAAGGGAAAGGUCAGGCUGAAAUCUUCAAAAGGAGAAUAGCAGAACAGCAGGACGUAUCCUGAGCGCCACAGUGUCUGGAGGACUCCACCUUUUUCAGGGCAAACUAAGAGCAAAUGUACAGAUCGACUCUCGAGUCAUAGAGAGUCAGAGUCAGAGGUGCCAUUCAACGACUAAAAGCUCCCGCCCCGCCGAGCUCUCCGACCGGCUGGAUUCUGAGGAAGAGAUGCUGAAGGUAAUGGCUUCCUUAUGGACUCCCGGCACAAGAGUGAUGGGCUGACAGAAGGCAUGGGGGCCACAGUCUGAACUGCAGGCAGAUUCUUGCUGGUGGCUCCAUUCACAAAGCUGGAAGAAGAGGGAGUGGAAGAAUCUGUGGCUCCUGUGAGAAAAAAAGAGAGAAAUCACAGGUAACAACAUAACUACAGAGGUGCAAGCUCUGAGAAACAAAUCAUCACUAUUACUCUCGCCUCCCCUUGAGAAAGCGGAGCACCAUCUUACAUUCCUCUUAUUUCUCUCUCUGUCAAAGCCACAGUGUCCACAGCGCCCUGUGCAGCAGGGAGCUUCUGAUAGAUACAUCACAGCAAUGGACUGUCAUCCUGUGAAACCACAAGCUGUCACGGGACAUCUGAGGAUGGGAAAUCUAUUACACAGCCAUCAAUCGCCGUGUCAGAGAUGAGUGUCCACCCAUAAGCAAAUACACCAAGAUGAAGGAAACGUCAAGAGGGACAUUCUGAUGGAUUUCACUGGAAGCGCAGCUUGGCCUGAUUCAACCUCAAUCCAAAUCAACGUCCCUUGUGCAUUCUAAGCAGAUCUCAAUGAGGUAUAUAAUGGACAAUGGGGACUAAAAGUGUCUUUUAAGGAAAAUGUGAUGUAUUUUUUUGGUUCUCAAAAUAUACUGUACUUUACUGUUCAAAGGUUUGGGGUCAGUAUGAUUUUUAUUUUUUUUAAGGAAUUUAAUACUUUUAUUCAGCAA